AGAUACUGUGUAGCUUGGCUACACACCAGUACUGACCAGCUGUUCCUCUUCAUUCUUGAAUCCACCUGGUCUUAUUGCAGACAUUUGAGUUUGGAAAUAAUUCAUGCUUCUUCCUAAAUAAUAGCCCUGAUACUGUCCCUGAUCACCCUACUACUGGCUUCUGGAGUGACUCAAUGAGAAAAUGGUAACAACUCUGGUUUUUUCCAAGAGGUCUGAAUGAGUGAUGAGAAAGAAAUAACGCACACCAUUUCUUGGAGGACUCAUGUUUCCCUUAGAGGGAAGAAUCGAUUUAAAGUCUUGAGGCUGAGACAAAAGGCAGAAGAGCUGAAAGCAACUUAAGAAGGCUAGAAAAGCCUGAUCUAGUAGGCACUUGCCAGGCACUGAGAAAAGUAAGCGCUUUUUCUGGGAAGGCAACGAGAUGCCACUGUCAUGAGCGUCUACUGCUCCUGCCUCCUGUUGUCAUGACAUUGAACACAUCAGAUACUCAACAUAAGGAAAAUUAUCCCAACCAGGUUUGUGAGGCAGAAGGGAGCUUCUUAUCACCAGACUUCUCCAAAAUGACAAGAAAAGAACACCUGAGCCUUUCUCCUGUUUCUCUCCUGUCAAACUCACAUUUAGGCUUUUAGCAGCAGUUCAGCUGAGAUCCAUUCGGAUGAGGACUCAGAGGCUUCCAGUCUGUGGAAACAAGAUCAGCCGAGGAACUAACUGGCAAGGAAACAUGCUAUGUGGUGCUGACCUGAAGCUAAGAAGGAGCUGACGCAUGCCUAGAAGCCCAGAUUUUCUCAUCCUCAGAGUGGCAGGAGUUUGGCAGCUCCCCUGCUUUGCCCAGGUGCCAGCAAUCCACAGCAGUUAGGCUUCCCAGAGCGUGUACGUGACAGGCUGCAAGUGGAGUCAUAGCUGAAAUAGGUGGAGAAGACUAAAGCUGGCUGGUGGCCAGGAUAUAUCCAUGAAAUAUAUAGAAGCAGUAUAUUCACUUAGCUAAUGGUAAAAUCAGCUUGGACAACUUGCUGCCUGUCUAAGUUAUCAGAGU